rnacentral:misc_RNA from 1 species
GAUGAAGAACGUAGUGAAAUGCGAUAAGUAAUGCGAAUUGCAGAUCUCCGUGAGUCAUUGAAUCUUUGAACGCACAUUGCGCCCUCGGGUAUUCCCGAGGGCAUGCCUGUCCGAGCGUCAUUAUCCAACCAUCAAGCUCGGCUUGCGGUUGAGCCCCGCACCGUCCCCGGGACGGUGGGCUCGAAACAUGUUGGGCGCCCGUGAGGUUGUCGGUGCAGCGAGCUCUCGAGCACGUGCCGGGCAACCGCUCUGGGCGUCGGCCAGCCCCCCCAUUUUCUCAGGUUGACCUCGGAUCAGGUAGGAAUACCCGCUGAACUUAAGCAUAUCAAUAAGCGGAGGA